AGUGAUCCUACGGGAGGCAGCAGUAGGGAAUAUUGGACAAUGGGGGCAACCCUGAUCCAGCAAUGCCGCGUGAGUGAUGAAGGCCUUAGGGUUGUAAAGCUCUUUUACCCGGGAUGAUAAUGACAGUACCGGGAGAAUAAGCACCGGCUAACUCCGUG
rnacentral:rRNA from 1 species